rnacentral:misc_RNA from 1 species
AAUUCUCAAACCACAUAUUGUUGUGGCUUGGAUAGUUGGGAGUUGCCAGCUUUUUAUUUUUAAGUAGGCUCUCCUUAAAUAUAUAAGUGGUGUACUUAGAAACUUGUUAGGUGUUGUAAAUUAUUAAUACAUCUAUGUUCUCUGAAUAUACUGCUUCUAACCUCUUUCUUGAUGAU